AUGAUAAUCCCUGUAAGCAUUUAUAAUUUAGAGGAACGUAUGAUAGAGUCAACAAUGGCUACGAAGACAGCAUAUAUUUCUCUGUUCCUGUCUUUGUUUCUUCUCAUUUUAUCUCAUUUCUCCUCGUGUUGGAGCUACACACCGCAUGCUACGUGCCAGUGCAUACAUGCCACCAUCUAGUCUUUGAGGAAGCGAAUGGAAAGACAAGAAAACGAAAACUCUGUAGACAACAACAACAUCCUCCAAAACCAUAUAUAACUGCAAAUACAAGAUGCGUCUGGAGUUGGGCUGAAAGGCAUGAAGAGUCCAUUUGUGCGAGUGACAUGGAGGAUUGGGACGGGGCGGGUAGAUGCGUUUUGCAUGGUACAUGGCGGUUUCUUUUUCUUCUGAU